rnacentral:rRNA from 1 species
AGAAUCAACGCUGGCGGCGUGCCUAACACAUGCAAGUCGAACGAGAAAGUGGGAGCAAUCCCACGAGUAAAGUGGCGCACGGGUGAGUAACACAUGACUAACCUACCCUUGAGUGGGGGAUAACCUAGGGAAACCUGGGCUAAUACCGCAUAAUACCUACGGGUCAAAGGAGCAAUUCGCUUUAGGAGGGGGUCGCGGCAGAUUAGUUAGUUGGCGGGGUAAUGGCCCACCAAGACAGUGAUCUGUA